rnacentral:rRNA from 1 species
AUUGAACGCUGGCGGCAUGCCUUACACAUGCAAGUCGAACGGCAGCACGGGAGCAAUCCUGGUGGCGAGUGGCGAACGGGUGAGUAAUAUAUCGGAACGUGCCCAGUCGUGGGGGAUAACGUAGCGAAAGCUACGCUAAUACCGCAUACGAUCUAUGGAUGAAAGCGGGGGAUCGCAAGACCUCGCGCGAUUGGAGCGGCCGAUAUCAGAUUAGGUAGUUGGUGAGGUAAAGGCUCACCAAGCCGACGAUCUGUAGCUGGUCUGAGAGGACGACCAGCCGCACUGGGACUGAGACACGGCCCAGACUCCUACGGGAGGCAGCAGUGGGGAAUUUUGGGACAAUGGGCGCAAGCCUGAUCCAGCAAUGCCGCGUGCAGGAUG